rnacentral:rRNA from 1 species
AGGGUUCGAUCAUGGCUCAGGAUGAACGCUGGCUGUAUGCCUAACACAUGCAAGUCGUACGAGAGUUUUUAACUCUAGUGGCGGACGGGUGAGUAACACGUGAGAAUUUGCCUUUAGGAGGGGGAUAACAAUUGGAAACGACUGCUAAUACCCCAUAUGCUUCCGAGUGAAAUGGAUUUAUAUUUAUCCGCCUAGAGAGAAGCUCGCGGCUGAUUAGCUUGUUGGUAAGGUAAGAGCUUACCAAGGCGACGAUCAGUAUCUGGUUUGAGAGGACGACCAGACACACUGGAACUGAGACACGGUCCAGACUCCUACGGGAGGCAGCAGUGGGGAAUUUUCCGCAAUGGGCGAAAGCCUGACGGAGCAAUACAGCGUGAGGGAAGACUGCCUAUGGGUUGUAAACCUCUUUUUUCAGGGAGGAAUAAAAUGACGUGUACCUGAAGAAUAAGCAUCGGCUAACUCCGUGCCAGCAGCCGCGGUAAGACGGAGGAUGCAAGUGUUAUCCGGAAUCACUGGGCGUAAAGCGUCUGUAGGUGGUUUAAUAAGUCAACUGUUAAAUCUUGAGGCUCAACCUCAAAAUCGCAGUCGAAACUAUUAGACUAGAGUAUAGUAGAGGUAAAGGGAAUUUCCAGUGGAGCGGUGAAAUGCGUAGAUAUUGGAAAGAACACCGAUGGCGAAAGCACUUUACUGGGCUAUUACUAACACUCAGAGACGAAAGCUAGGGUAGCAAAUGGGAUUAGAUACCCCAGUAGUCCUAGCCGUAAACAAUGGAUACUAGAUGUUGAACAGAUCGACCUGUGCAGUAUCAAAGCUAACGCGUUAAGUAUCCCGCCUGGGAAGUAUGCUCGCAAGAGUGAAACUCAAAUGAAUUGACGG